rnacentral:rRNA from 1 species
CCGCGGUAAUACGUAGGGCGCAAGCGUUGUCCGGAAUUAUUGGGCGUAAAGAGCUCGUAGGCGGUUUGUCGCGUCUGCUGUGAAAACCUAAGGCUCAACCUUGGGCUUGCAGUGGGUACGGGCAGACUAGAGUGCGGUAGGGGUGACUGGAAUUCCUGGUGUAGCGGUGGAAUGCGCAGAUAUCAGGAGGAACACCGAUGGCGAAGGCAGGUCACUGGGCCGCAACUGACGCUGAGGAGCGAAAGCAUGGGGAGCGAACAGGAUUAGAUACCCUGGUAGUCCAUGCCGUAAACGUUGGGCACUAGGUGUGGGGCUCAUUCCACGAGUUCCGUGCCGCAGCAAACGCAUUAAGUGCCCCGCCUGGGGAGUACGGCCGCAAGGCUAAAACUCAAAGAAAUUGACGGGGGCCCGCACAAGCGGCGGAGCAUGCGGAUUAAUUCGAUGCAACGCGAAGAACCUUACCAAGGCUUGACAUACACCGGAAAAGUGCAGAGAUGUGCUCCCCGUAAGGUCGGUGUACAGGUGGUGCAUGGUUGUCGUCAGCUCGUGUCGUGAGAUGUUGGGUUAAGUCCCGCAACGAGCGCAACCCUCGUCCCAUGUUGCCAGCGGGUUAUGCCGGGGACUCAUGGGAGACUGCCGGGGUCAACUCGGAGGAAGGUGGGGAUGACGUCAAAUCAUCAUGCCCCUUAUGUCUUGGGCUUCACGCAUGCUACAAUGGCCGGUACAAAGGGCUGCGAUACCGCGAGGUGGAGCGAAUCCCAAAAAGCCGGUCUCAGUUCGGAUUGGGGUCUGCAACUCGACCCCAUGAAGUCGGAGUCGCUAGU